ensembl:lncRNA
GGUUGAACUUUUUCAGCUGACGAAGGAAGUACAACCUCUGCUGGGCCUUUUUCACAAUGUGUCAACGUGAAUGACCCACUUCUGGUGCUGAGAGAUGGAAAUAACUUCAAUGACUCCACUGCAGACACAGUGCUGUCCAUGAUGAAAAGCCUGACAUCACCACCCAUUUUUACAGUAAACCAGGAUGCAGCUGACGAGACAGACUCCAGUAAGAGUCCUCAGCGUUGAUCAGGCAAGUCCACAUCUAACCCAUCUAGAGUGGGAAUCUUCUUGGAAGAAAACUUUGUAAUGGAUGAAUCGACCAAUCUCAGGCCUUCUAUGUCCACUUUUUCAGACUGAUUUAUGCCCUCCACCUGGACUAAGUGUUUGAAAAGCACUUUAUAUUUUAUUCAGCAGAGUACUAUCAUCUCUACAGUUUUGAGCGUGUUCAGCUCCAGGUUGUUAAGACUGCACCAGACAGCCAGCUGCUCAACCUCUUGUCGGUGAGCAGACUCAUCUCCGUCCUGGAUGAGGCCGAUGAGUGUGGCGUCAUCUGCAACUUCAGGAGUUUGACAGAGGGGUCAGUAGAGGUGCAUUCAUUUGUGUAGUGGCAGAAGAGCAGUGGGGAGAGGACGUAGCCUUGAGGAGCUCCAUUGCUGAUGGUGUGGCUGUUGGAUGUGAGUUUUCCCAGCCUCACUAGCUGCUGCCUGUCUGUCAGGAAGCUGGUGAUCCACUGACAGGAG